GACGGAGGAUGCAAGUGUUAUCCGGAAUCACUGGGCGUAAAGCGUCUGUAGGUGGUUCGAAAAGUCCACUGUUAAAAAUUGAGGCUUAACUUCAAAGAUGCCGUGGAAACUUUCAAACUAGAGUAUGGUAGGGGUAGAGGGAAUUUCCAGUGGAGCGGUGAAAUGCGUAGAUAUUGGAAAGACCACCGAUGGCGAAGGCACUCUACUGGGCCAUUACUGACACUGAGAGACGGAAGCUAGGGGAGCAAAUGGG
rnacentral:rRNA from 1 species